rnacentral:lncRNA from 1 species
CCCCUGUCACAAGCGCUUCUUGUCGUCAGGCGUUCAUUGGCUCCACUGAGCUGGUUGCUAGGCAAUCCAGGCUGCAUUAAUAUGCGCGGUAGAAGGAGCAGGGGAAGCCUCUUCUCUCUGGAGCGUGGCAACUGCUAUGACAGCGUCAGCAUGGGUAGAAGACUGAAUCCCUCGCUCACAGCCCCUGCUCUUAUAGCCUUCCAGCGCACAUACUGUUCGGUAGACAGCAAGGGAAACACAGCCACUAGAGCAGAGUAACAAGACAAGGGUGGUUAGGUUGCUAACAAUUUACAGAGGGAAAUCCACUGUCUGAAAUCAGUUGAAGUUGUUGCUUGUUUGAAUAGUUUUUUUUUACCUUAAAAUUGAAAAGCCAGCUGAAACUGUUUCAAAUUUGCUAAGCCUCAUGAGCCAACGUUUGACAGUGUGAGUUAGUAUUUUAAAAAGAAAACUGUAUGUUAUAGUAUGUAUUUUAGGGUUGACGUGUACAGUACUCUGAUAUCAGAAAGAAGACUAAAGUCUUUGGUGGAAUCAACAGAGGUUUGCAAAGCAAAAAGAUGGGAGAUUGAAUUGUACACAUGAAACCACUUCCCUCAUCUGCUCAUCAUCUGACUCCCCUCUUCAACCUGACAUCAUCUCCCCAUCAGAAGAGGAGAGAAGAGCAGUACUGUUCCAGCUCUGGCUCGUCAAGGCUGAGGAGGAGAAACUGACGACAGCGCGAACUUGGUCACUAGUGAGAUGCAACUCGGGGAGGGAACACUCAACUGCCGCGGGGUACGACAUCUGAUGAAAGAAGCCCUCGAAUUGGACAGCCUGGAAGACGAGCCAGCCCUCUCCCUCAGAUCCCGUGCCCCCCCGCUGCCAAUGUAUGAAAGGGACCGACUUUUCCCUUAGUUGCCAGGGAUGUCUGUGCACUACAGAAAGGCGAAAAAUCCCUCCAGUAUGUCCAAUGCUAUGUUCUUCCUGAUGCUCUGCAAGACUGGUCUGAAAGGAAAACUGCAGACCAUUCCUGGAAAAAUGGUAAACACUGCCAUCUGUGAUGAAGAAAAAGGAAUUCAAGACAAGGAAGGUACAGAGGAGUCCAUACUGGCCAUGCUUGGGAUCAUCGGCACCAUUCUCAACAUGGUAGUGAUCAUCUUUGUCUACAUCUACACCACGCUGUGACUGUGAUAAAAAGCAACUAUUUUGCAUUGAACAGGCCUAUCGGGCCUACUGGAUGCAGCCAUGUUGUUUGGCUGGGAGUUGAGACUGUGCCGAGAUGGCACUGUGUCGUCGAUCGACUUUCCCAACUAUCAAAGGGAUCUAAGGCUGUGUGAUUACCGCAUUAAAUGUAACCUACAGCAGCGUCAUAGAGCGGCGCUGAAACUAUGUCUAUGGGAGACUGGCCCGUUCUUAUGGGACCUUUGUCCGGGGGUGUCAGUAUCAUACCUACUCUCUGAUGCUACUUUGACCUUUUAACCUGUAAAUAUGCAUGAGGCUAGCACGAGCCACGCUCUCAAGAUCCAGCUUUCUUUCACAGGUGCCAAGCCGAGGAGAAAGUAAAGAGACUGCAAUCUGGUGUAAAAUGAGCUUAAAGCACUGCAGCAGUCUUUUGAAAAAGCCUGAUAAACAUUUUGAUAUUAAAAGGGAUGAUACAGCAUACCUAGAGAGUGGACAGAUGACAUUCUGGAGAAAAGGCAUGGUUUGUGCGAUCCGCGAUCCUUUGUACGUCCAUACCUUAAACCCUAACCCUAACCUUAACCCCUACCCUUACACUUACCUUAAUCAUAACCCUUACCUAACCCUAACCUUAACACUUAACCAUUUUACAUUUCAACUUCAACGAGGUAGGGACGUCCCAAGGAUCUCUGAUUGCAAUGACCAAAAAGGCAUGUACAGUAUGAGUAAACGGAUCAUUUAGCCAAAACUGUUUUUACACAAGUACUAUCAUAUUGUAAAAGAAAAAGUUUUUACAGAAAAAGACUUUGAACUGAGUGUGUUUAGUGGGUAGGCAGUAGAAAUGUGUAAGUCAACCUGAGUGUACGCUAUUUAUUGCCGUGUUCUGAUUUCUAUUUUCAGGAAAGAAUAUUUUGAACCAUGUUACUUUACAUAAUUUGUUUACUGUAAGUACAGUAAUAGAAAAGGAGACAACCAUUUUUGGAAAUAUCUCUAUUUUGGCAGUAGCAAAAUGAGGAGGAAAUUUUCAAUUUCUAAGAGUUCUUGUUAGUGUUGUUGAGAUGCACUUUUUCAUGAGUAUCAAGAAACCAAGUGAAUGAAAUUAUGUUAAGUUUUGCUUUCUGGAGGUAGGUAGGUAUUUGGUGAAGUAGGGCGUAGCAUCAAAUAUGAUCACAAACAGGUGAUCUUCAUAAGACAUGAUAGAGUGUCAAAAUGUGCAUUUAAAAUGGUGAUAUGGGAAAUAAUACUAUUACAGUGUAAUCAAUCACUUUAUCUAAAUGUAUAAAGCUUUAACUGAGCUUCUGCGCUUCGAUUGAAGACUAUGUUUUGUGUUGUCCCCUCCUUCAGGACUGUGUCAAGUAAGUAAUCAAUGGUAAACUUCUGCAUAUUGAUUGUGUUGCCUUGAGAUAAUAUGUACAGUGAAUUUAAAAGCACAAUUUAGAAAUGACUAUUCACAGUACGUACGAAUGUAUGGGCAAAUGUGUGUAAAGUGUGUAUGCUGCAGCCUACAACCUCUUGUGAAUUUAAGAAAGUGCCUAAAUUCAAGUUCAGUAUCUCAAUCCCAUCGUUCAGAUCUCAAAGCAGAAGAGGACAACAUACAAGGGGAUCUAUCGGCAAGACAUGCCACACAGAGCAAAGUCUGUGAAAGUGCUUCAUGACUGUUUAACCUGCCCUAAUGGCUAUCUUCAGUACAACAUCUCUAGAACGCUGGUAACUAAUUACAGAUAAUCCUUGCUCAGUGUAUUAUGACACCCUCCAUCAUCUUUAUAUCUACUCUUGAUUUCCAUUAGGAGCCAUUAGAAAAGGUUCAAAAUUAGUCCCAAAGGUGACGUGUUCCUAUUCCAUUUACUCUUGAAUUGGCAGAGACUUGAAUGGGAACAGUAGUGGAGUAAGUACAUGGACAGGGUUGAGAAUGUACACCACCAUUCAAAAGUUUGGGGUCAAUUAGAAAUGUCCUUAUUUUUGAAAGAAAGACAACUUUUUUGUCCAUUAAAAUAACAUCAAAUUGAUCAGAAAUUUGGUGUAGACAUUGUUAAUGUUAUAAAUUACUAUUGAAGCUGGAAACCCCUGAUUUUUAAUGGAAUAUCUACAUAGGUGUACAGAGACCCAUUAUCAGCAACCAUCACUCCUGUGUUCCAAUGGCAUGUUGUGUUAGUUAAUCCAAGUUUAUAAUUUUACAAGGCUAAUUGAUCAUUACAAAACCCUUUUGUAAUUAUGUUAGCACAGUGGAAAACUGUUGUGCUGAUUUAAAGAAGCAAUUAAACUGGCCUUCUUUAGACUAGUUGAGUAUCUGGAGCAUCAGCAUUUGUGGGUUCGAUUACAGGCUCAAAAUGGCCAGAAACAAAUAACUUUCUUCUGAAACUCGUCAGUCUAUUCUUGUUCUGAGAAAUGAUGGCUAUUCCAUGUGAGAAAUUGCCAAGAAACUGAAGAUCUCAUACAACGUUGUGUACUACUCCCUUCACAGAACGGUGCACAACUGAGCAAAAGGACAUGUACAUUAGUGUCUAGUUUGAGAAACAGAUGCCUCACAAGUUCUCAACUGGCAGCUUCAUGAAAUAGUACCUGCAGUCCCAACGUCAACAGUGAAGACGUGACCCCGGGAUGCUGGCCUUCUAGGCAGAGUUGCUAAGAAAAAGCCAUAUCUCAGACACGCCAAUAAAAAGAAAAGAUUAAGAUGGGCAAACGAACACAGACACUGGAGAGAGGAACUCUGCCUAGAAGGCCCGCAUCCCGGAGUCGCCUCUUCCUUGUUGACAUUUAGACUGGUGUUUUGCGGGAUCUAUUUAAUGAAGCUGCUCAAUGUAUACAGUAAAGUGCUUGUUAGUCCAGGAGUCUUAAUCUGCGUCUGGGAAACUGUCCCGCAAAGCCCAUUACACAUAGUUUAAUGGGUAAUAUUGGAAGAAGUACUUUCAAUACUGGAAAAUUCCCGAACAUUCUCGGAUCUUAUCUUCCUUUUUUUUCAUGUCUAAGAUGCAGAGUUUUUUGUGUGCCG